rnacentral:rRNA from 1 species
GAUAAACGCUGGCGGCGCACAUAAGACAUGCAAGUCGAACGGACUUAACCAUUAGUUUACUAUUGGAGCGGUUAGUGGCGGACUGGUGAGUAACACGUAAGCAACCUGCCUAUCAGAGGGGAACAACAGUUAGAAAUGACUGCUAAUACCGCAUAUGCCUUAAGUAUCGCAUGAUACAAGAGGGAAAGGAGUAAUCCGCUGAUAGAUGGGCUUGCGUCUGAUUAGAUAGUUGGUGGGGUAACGGCCUACCAAGUCGACGAUCAGUAGCCGGACUGAGAGGUUGAACGGCCACAUUGGGACUGAGAUACGGCCCAG